rnacentral:rRNA from 1 species
UACAGAGGUCCCGAGCGUUGUUCGGAUUCACUGGGCGUAAAGGGUGCGCAGGUGGGUUGGCAAGUUUGAUGUGAAAGCCCCGGGCUUAACCCGGGAAUGGCAUUGAAUACUGCUGAUCUGGAGGAUCGGAGGGGGGACUGGAAUUCAUGGUGUAGCAGUGAAAUGCGUAGAGAUCAUGAGGAAGACCAGUGGCGAAGGCGGGUCUCUGGACAGUUCCUGACACUGAGACACGAAGGCCAGGGGAGCAAACGGG